UACGUAGGGGGCAAGCGUUGUCCGGAAUCAUUGGGCGUAAAGCGCGUGUAGGCGGCUCGGUAAGUCUGCUGUGAAAGUCCAGGGCUCAACCCUGGGAUGCCGGUGGAUACUGUCGAGCUCGAGUCCGGAAGAGGCGAGUGGAAUCCUGGUGUAGCGGUGAAAUGCGCAGAUAUCAGGAGGAACACCAAUGGCGAAGGCAGCUCGCUGGGACGUGACUGACGCUGAGACGCGAAAGCGUGGGGAGCAAACAGG
rnacentral:rRNA from 1 species